rnacentral:lncRNA from 1 species
UCCUCUACCUCGUGAGAAGUGCGCUGGUCCAUCUUGCACCAAUCCGUAUAAGUACCGGCAUUCAAAAUUGAAGCUUCCUCUUUGCAGUCUCGAAUGCUACAAGGCUGUCGAGAAGAUUGCGGCUGAUGAAGCAAGUGCCCAGGAGAAUAUGGCGGCUGAUGAAGCUAGUGCCCAGGAGAAUAUGGCGGCUGAUGAAGCUAGUGCCCAGGAGAAUACGGCGGCUGAUGAAGCAAGUGCCCAGGAGAAUACGGCGGCUGAUGAAGCAAGUGCCCAGGAGAAUACGGCGGCUGAUGAAGCAAGUGCCCAGGAGAAUACGGCGGCUGAUGAAGCAAGUGCCCAGGAGAAUACGGCAGCUGAUGAAGCAAGUGCCCAGGAGAAGACGGCAGCUGAGUAAACUACCUCUUGAUGUUCUGAAUGACUAUUACUGGUUUAGGCCAGUACUAUGAAACCCUUGAUGCUUUUAUGGUGUUCUUAUGGCAAAGAACUCAUAUUGAGGAUUGUUUAUUUGCUGGUAGAAAUAUCUAGUUUAUUGGAAAUGGAUACUGCAUGUAGAUAGACAUGUUUUGUUCAUUGCUUUGGCUUUUUUGAGUUGCAACUCUAGACAAUUAGUAGGUGUAAGUGCCUAAGAAUAAAAUUGCAAAACUCAUUCAUAUUUGGCCGCUUUUAUAAAAUUGUUUUGAACCAGAUUUCAUUUCCCCCUCCCAUGUCAUCAAGUGGAGGAUAUGAUGGUAUUCAUGAUGUUUAAUAUGAUUAAUGGUUAUCUGGCCUAGGUUGGGCUAGAGGAACAUCAAAAGAUAAAUUUUCUGGAGGAUUUGGAAGGAGUAGUCCAAAUAAUAUCUUUAGGAGAAAAGAUUUUUUGUGGAGGCGAUCUUAAUCGACAUGUAGGGAGAGAUACUAGAGGAUUUGAAGAUGUUCAUGGUGAAUAUGGCAUACGAGAAUCAAACAAGGAAGGUAAGGCUAUUUUAGACUUCUCAUUAGUUUUUGAUUUUACAAUAGUCGAUAUGUGUUUUAAGAAGUGGGAGAAAGAUCUUAUCACAUAUAAGAGUGAAGUUGUACGUUCUCAAAUCGAUUUCUUUCUUAUAAGGAAAUCAAAUAUGAAGUUUUGCUUGUAUUAUAAAGUCAUCCUUAGAGAGAUUGACGAAUCAACAUAGAGUUUUGGUUAUGGAUGUUAGGGUUAAGAUUAGAGUCGACAGAAAAGGACAAUAAAAGGUCCUAAGGAUUAAAUGGUGAAAAUUGAAGGGACAUGUACGUAAGAGCUUCAAUCAAAAGGUUUUAGAAGGUAUAAGGAAGUUCUGAUGAUAUGUGGGAGGAGAUGACCAAAAGAAUUAGGAAGAUAUCAAAUGAGAUAUUAGGCGAAUCUAGAGGCUCUGGACCAAAGGAUAAAAAAUCAUGGUUGGACAAACGUGUCCAAUACAAAGUUAAGAUGAAAAGUGGAUAUUAUAAAUCAUGAUCAUUGUGUAAAAAAAUUCAAGGUUGGAAAACACAAGGUAGCUAAGAAAGAUAGCAAGAAAGUGGUAAGCGAAGCUAAAAAUAAAGCGUAUGAUAAGUUAUACAAAUCUCUAGGUACCGAGUAAGGAAAUAAUUGUCUACUAACUUGCAAAGUUUGGGGAAAGAAAGACAAGAGACUUGGACCAAGUGAAAUACGUUGAAGAUGAAGAUGCAAUUUUUAUGGUAAAAGACAAAUAUAUGAAUGAAAGAUAAAAGAACUAUUUUCACUAGUAUUUCAAUGAGUGACAUGAUUCCUUGCUUUGUGAUAGAUAAACAAAAAAGAUGAAGAUUAAAAUUAUAUAUUUUUAUCGUGGAAUUCGAGAGUGAGAGGAGAAAGAAGCUUUUAAAAGGAUGGAAAAUAACAAAGCGGUUGAACAAGAUAAUAUACAUAUUGAGACAUAAAAGGUUUUAGGAGAGUAUGACAUAAGAUGACUCCCAAAGUUGUUUAAUGAGAUAAUGAGUUUAAGAAGAUGUCAAACGAGUAGAGGAAAAACAUCUUAAUCCCUAUUUAUAAGAACACGGGUGACAUACAAAAUUAUGCAAACUAUAGGGGAUUAAACUCAUGAGUCAUAAUAUGAAGUUAUGUGAGAGAAUGAUUGAGGGGAAGUUGAGACAAGCGAAUAUCAAUUAAAACAUUUGCUUUUAUGUCAUGGAGGUCAACCAUGGAGGCUAUAUACUUGCUAUGACGAUUGAUGGAAAUGCAUCAACAAAAACAAAGAGAUUUGCAUAUGAUCUUCAUUGAUAUGGAGAAGACAUACGGUAAGGUGCAUAUGGAGGUUUGAUGGAAAGCUCUAGAAUGAAAUGUGAUCGAAUUGCCUAUACUCGAGCAAUUAAAGAUAUCUAUGUUGGGUCAAGACCAUUGUAUGAACACAAGACAAGGUCUCAUAAGAUUUUUUUAUUGCUAUAAGACUACACUAAAGGUUAAUAUUGAGCUCUUACUUGUUUACAUUGUCUUGGAUGUGCUCAUUCAAUGUAUCUAAGAACCAUUGACAUAAUGCAUGUUUUUGUGUGAAUGAUAUUAUUUUAGUGCGAGACUCGAUAAAGAAAUUAAAUGAGAAGUUAGAAAUGUUGAGACAAACUUUAAAAACACACAAGUUUCGUGUAAUUCGAAGUAAAACGAAAUAUAUGGACUACAAGUCUAGCAAGAAGCUGACAAAAUCUACUAUAUAUGCAAAGAUUAUGGAUCAUAUCAUCAGUUCAUGAGUAGAUUUAGGUAUAGUGUCAAUCAUAUAAGAUGAUAAGAAAAUUGAUGGAGAUAUGAACCAUAUGAUUCAAGCUGCUUGAUGAAAAGGCGGAGUGCUACAUGUGUCACAUAUAUGAUAAAAAGGUAUCACUCAAGGUUAAGGGAGGCUUUAUCUCCGAUUAUAAGAUCUGCAAUGUUAUGAGACUGAAUAUUGGACAAUUAAAUGUCAAUAAGAGAAUAGACUUCAUGUAACUAAGAUGACAAUGUUGUGUUGGAUGAGUAAACAAACUAGAGAAUAUGAGAUUAGAAAUGAAUGUAUUAAGGAGAACAUUUGGAAUAACGCCUAUUGUAAAAAGAUGAUAGAGUCGCACCUUAAGUGAUUUGAACAUGUGUGGAGAAAACCAGCAGAAGCUCCCAUAAGGAUACCAAAUCAAAUAAAAGCUAGUCCAAUUCCUAUAGGAUGAGAGAUAUCAAUAAAAACCAAAGAGUAAAUAAUCAUGGUGGUGGGACAAUAAUGUCCAAGACAACAAAGUUAAGGUAAAAAUGGAAUAUGAUAAAUCAUGAUCAUUGUGUAAAAUUCUAAAGGUUAGACAGAUAUUAGGUAACUAAGAAAAAUAGUAAGAAAGCAGUAACCCAAAGCUAAAAAUAAAAUAUAUGGCGGGUUAUACUAAUCUUUAGGUACCAAUGGACGGAAAAGAAAUGUCUAUAGAUUUGCAAAUGAUAGAAAAAGAAAGACAAGAGACUUGGACCAAGUGAAAGCAUUACAGAUAAAGAUGGAAAUACUUUGGUGAAUGACAAAGAUAUGAAGGAAAAAUGAAAUAAUUAUUUUCGCAAGCGUUUCAACAAAUGACAUGAUUCCUUGCUUUAUGAGAGACUACACUCAAAAGAGAAAGAUAAUUAUAUAUAUUUAUUGUGGAAUUCGAGAGUUUGAGGUGAAAGAAGCUUUUAAAAGGAUGGAAAAUGGCAAAGCGGUUGAACCAGAUAAUAUACAUAUUGAGGCAUGAAAGGUUAUAGGAGAGUAUGACAUUAGAUGGCUCCCAAAGUUGUUUAAUGAGAUUAUAAGACUAAGAAGAUGCCAAAUGAGCAAAGGAGAAACAUCUUAAUCCCUAUUUAUAAGAAUAAGGGUGAUAUACAAAAUUAUGCAAACUAUAAGGAAUUAAACUCAUGAGUCAUAAUAUGAAGUUAUAUGAGAGGAUGAUUGAGCGAAGGUUGAGCAGAGAUUGAGACAAGAGACAAACAUCAAUGAAUUUUUUUGCUUUUAUGUCGCGGAGGUCGACCAUGGAGGCUAUAAACGUGCUACGACGAUUGAUUGAAAGACAUUGAUGGAAACAAAGGGAAUUCACAUCAUCUUCAUUGAUUUAGAGAAAGCGUAUGAUAAGACGCAUAGAGAGGUUUGGACGAAAGCUCUAGAGAAGACAUGUGACCAAAUUGCCUAUACUCGAGCAAUUAACGAUAUGUAUGAUGAAUCAAGACCUUCGUGAGAACACAAGACAAGGUCUUAGAAGAUUCUCCUAUUGUUAUAAGACUACACAAAGAGUCAACAUUGAGCUUUUACUUGUUUAAAUUGGUAUUGGAUGUGCUCACUCAACAUAUCCAAGAACCAUUGCCACAAUGCAUGUUUUUUGCUGAUGAUAUUGUCUUAGUGUGAGACUCAAUAGAAAAAUUAAAUGGAAGUAAGAAAUGUUGAGACAAACUCUAAAAGCACAUGAAUUUCAUAUAAUUUGAAGUAAGAUAGAAUAUAUGUUGUAUAAGUUUAGUAAUGGCAGACAAACUCUACUACAGAGGUAAAGAUUAUGGAUCAUCAUCACUAGAUUUAGGUAUAUUGGGUCUAUCAUACAAGAGGAUGAGAAAAUCGAUGGAGAUGUGAACCAUAUGAUUCAAGCUGCUUGGAUGAAAUGGCGGAGUGCUACAUGUGUAACAUAUUUGAUAAAAAUGUAUCAUUCAAGCUUAUGAGGAAGUUUUACCGCACAAUUAUAAGAUCUACAAUUUUAUAUGAGACUGAAUGUUGGAUAAUAAAAUGUUAAUAAAAGAAUAGACUUCAUGCAAUAGAGAUGAUAAUAUUGUGUUGGAUGAGUAGACAAACUAGAGAAAAUAGAAUUAGGAAUGGAUGCAAUAAGGAGAAAGAUGGAAAAACGCCUAUUAUAAAAAGAUGGUAGAAUCGUGCCUUAAGUGAUUUGAAUAUGUAUGGAGGAGACCAUGUAAGGAUAUCAUAUUAAAUGGAAGCUAGUCCUAUUCCUAUAGGAAGAGAGGUACCAAUAAAAACCAUAGACAAAAUGAUUAAGAAAGACUUAGAGAUAAAUGAUUCAUCAAUGAACAUAAUUUAUAAUAACAUUAUAAUAUCAUUUAGUCCAUAUGUAAAAGACCACACCUAAUGUGAUAAAAACUUAGUUGUUAUUGUUGAUAUUGGCAAGAUAUUUUUUUCCAAAAAUCUUGUUUGAGGUCAUUAGUUAAUUUUUUAUAUGUUUAUUUUUUGUCUUCCAUAGAAAAUUACAUGAAAUUAAAUAUAUGCAAGGCAAUGGGAACACACUCACAUCUAAGGUAAAGUUUUAGAUUUUAUCCAUGGUAGUUGUUCCAUAUUAAAUUACACAUAUUUUUAGAAAACUUACAAAAGAAAAGAAUAGAGAUGUAAAGUGUGAUAAAAAAACAAUUUUUUUCCUAUAAGCAAAUCCAUUAGUCAGGACAAGGGGGUACUUAACCCAUUACAGAAAGGUUACAGCAAUUGUUGAAUACAUUGUAAUGGAAAUAAACAUCAAUUCGAGUAAGAUACAUUCUUAUAUAUAAAUCUCAAAGUAAUUUUAAGAACACAUAUCAAUAAAAAAAAUCUUUAUAAUAUUCACAUGAUCAAUAUUACAAAUAAGAGGUAAGAUCCAUUUACUCCAGAAGUAAGUUAAAAUAAUCUAUUCCACAUCUUAGCUAUCAAUCCUCUGAAAAUUUAAUGAUUCACAUAAUUUAAAUUAAUCAGUAAUUUUGAACGAUUAGACUUUUAUAGAAUGAAUAACUAUAUAGACGAGAUCGCAUGAAGGAUAGGAAGAAUUCAAUCAUGGAUUGAUAUGCUACCAUAUUCAUAUCCAGCCAUCUAAACACCAAGUCCCAAAGAGCAUAUAACUUGUGAGAGAAAAAAAAUAGUAUAAGGUGACAUUUUUUAAUUUAAAUAUAAUGUGAUGACAUUUUUAUUUUUGACUAAAAAAAGGAAAGCAAAAACUUACAUUUUUAGUAUUGGAGAUCAUUCUUUUUGAAAAGAUUAUCCCCAUAUGGCAAACGAUAAAUUAUAAGUUGCUAAUUAAAAGUAAUAAGUUGUCUUGGAGCCUUUACCAUCUAAGGGUUAGUUUGGGAGUUGGAUUUUGGAGGGGAAGGAAAGGAAAAUGAAGACUUGGAAACCAUGACAUAUACUUGUUUCAUAGCUCCCAAGCCUUUCCUUUCCCCCUUCCCCUCCAAAAUCCAACUCAUAAACUAACCCUAAAGGAACUUGAUGACAUUAUCAUCACUUGUAUUAAUCAAGAUAUGAUGCAAGUGAAUUAUAGGUUCAAUAACCAAGAAUAAGCAGAUUUCACUAAGUGUCACCACUACUAUCAAGAUUCCAGUGUAAAACAUUCGAUCAACUCUAAUCUAGCCACAUGUCUUUGAAAAAGUGCAGAACUGUUGAUACAAGGAUGACAAGUCCAAGAAAAGAAUAAGAUAGGUUGUCCGAAGUUAUGUUCCGUACCAAUAAUAACAAAAUAAAAACAGAAAAAAUAACAAAUAUUUAAUUUUUUAUUUGACAUAAAUGUUUUUAUUAGUAUAACACAUGAUUUAUGACAUGCAACCAAAAGAGAAUCCACAUAUUUCAACAAUUUCCACCUUCCAUUUCACUAACAAUGACAAAUUAAAAUUUAAAAAAAAAUUGUAAUCAAAUCACCUUCUACCACUGGUCUACACAGUAAGUGACACCUGACUCAUGCACUCUUUUGAACCUUAUCACAUAGAAAAUUCCUUUGGAUGCUAUUAAUUGAUCGCAACAUUUUACUUGGGAGCUAAAAAAAGAGAAAUGAUAUACAAGUAAAUUUGUUAAUAACGAAUUGAAACAACUUAUUUUUAAUAUAAACACCCAUUCAAUCUUAUAAAAUAGGUGACAUGAAUCAAUUUUUUCACUGAAAUUUCACUCAAUUAGUUAUUGAACUAUGGAACUUUAUAUAAUAGUAAUUUAAUCAUUAAAAUUUGAUUCAAUUAAUCAAAUCAACUUAGCCUUCAGCAUGAUUUCUUACAAAUAUAACACCAUUAAUACUUACUAGAGAUUACUAUAUGAAGAUGGUAAUCAUACAUGACUGGAAAAUGAAAUUCCUAGGGUAAAUGAAUAGUGUGAAUCUUAAAUUUCAUUUUUUACUAUGACUAAUUAUAUUCUCUCACCCUAUGAAUAAGGAAUUAAAUCCUUCAUGUAUAUAGUUGCGCUUUCUCCUCUUGGUCUAUCUGAUUAGACUAAUGUUUUGUUGAUAUAUUAAAUUCAUUUUACUCCAAUAAUAAAAACACUAUUGUAAGUGAUUUUAAUUUUAAUGGACAAUAUCCCCAUAUGUUGGAAACUUUGGUUCAACAAAUCCAUCCCAAAACAAUUAAUAUUUGGUGAUCAUAGUGCAACUACAAACCUUAAAGAGAGAUUAGUUUCUUAUUUGUCAAACCAAAAAAGGGAGAGGGUCCAUUGAUACUGAUCCCAUUCCUUCAAAUUCAGAUACAAACUAAGGCACAAUAUGGUCGAUUCUGAAGAAUAGCUGAUGAAGCAAGUGCCCAGGAGAAGACGGCAGCUGAGUAAACUACCUCUUGAUGUUCUGAAUGACUAUUACUGGUUUAGGCCAGUACUAUGAAACCCUUGAUGCUUUUAUGGUGUUCUUAUGGCAAAGAACUCAUAUUGAGGAUUGUUUAUUUGCUGGUAGAAAUAUCUAGUUUAUUGGAAAUGGAUACUGCAUGUAGAUAGACAUGUUUUGUUCAUUGCUUUGGCUUUUUUGAGUUGCAACUCUAGACAAUUAGUAGGUGUAAGUGCCUAAGAAUAAAAUUGCAAAACUCAUUCAUAUUUGGCCGCUUUUAUAAAAUUGUUUUGAA